GGAGAGGUGGCAGAGUGGUCUAACGCGCCGCACUUGAAAUGCGGUGUAGGGGUAACCCUACCGUGAGUUCGAAUCUCACCCUCUCCG
rnacentral:tRNA from 1 species